rnacentral:lncRNA from 1 species
CUGUCGGGCUCCCUUGGCCCUCCGGUUGCAACCUCACCCUGUUGGAUUUCCCUAUACUUUGUGUCAUCCCUUUUGGGAGCUGAUCCAGAAUCCAAGUCGUCCUUGAGCUUCUAAGCACUUCUCUGGGGGAACUUAAGCUCAUCCAACAGGUAGGAGGGGCAGAGGGUGGCCCUUUCAGCCCUACACCGAUCCCCCAUCUUGUAGGGGCAAACGACAGAGCGUCAUUUUCUUUCUGGAGGAAGGGAGCUCAGUUUUAAAGACACGAUUCUCAGACCUGGCGGCAGGGAUAGAGAAAGGAACCCUCCCACCACUGGCGGAGAUGGACCUCAGAGAGUGGUUGCAGCGGCGAUGCUUAGGCCCCGUAGGCAGGAGGCGAAGGAGGAGGACGCAGGAAACCAACUAUCAGGCCUCCCAGAUAGUAUCAAGGAACUGAAACUUCCCAGAUCACAGCAUCUGUACAAUGAGACACCAGACCCUUCACUGGUCAUGAUUACCUGACCACCUGCCACCUGCUUCCUGCUGAACAACUCUUCUUUCUUAUCCUCCCCUAAUUCCUGUUUUCCUGUAUGUAGCUACAUUUCUUUUCUGCUGUAUAAACUCCUAAUUUUAGUUGGUCACGGAGAUGGAUUUGAAGCUGAUCUCCCACCUCCAUGGCUGCAGUACCUGAUUAAAGCUUUCUUUCCUGGCAGUA